UAUGUGUAAAAUACUUUAUUUUAAAUAAAUAAUAUCUUAUUUUAAAUUAUAUACAAAUAUCGCUAGAAAUAACUAUAACAACAAUUUCUCACAUGGUUUGAUGUAAAGUGUUGGGGUUUAGAAUUAACUGCUUAGCAACAAUAUUAUUACAGCGUAUUGUUAAAGAAUCAGGCUAUAACAUAUUAAAAAAAUCACUUGAAUCGGCCAACAGGUUUAGUAAAUAUAAGACAUCAAAAAUGACAAAAAUUUUAAGUGGACGCAUUUCUAUAUGCACGUAAGUUUAUAUAAAAAUAUAUUAUACUAUAAAAUAUAGUAUAUAAAAAUAUAUUAUAUUGAACUAAAAUCAUCUUAAUACAUACCUUUUAAUAUUCUUUAUAAUUUGGAGCACGAAAUAUUGUAAAAUGGCUGAGUUUUUCUGUAAAUACAGUGAAUAUUAUUUAAAAACAUUUAAAAAUAAAUGAGAACUGUCAGAAUUAACCGGUCUACGCUUAGAUGUUGCCAAGUUUCAACUUCAUGGCUUGUAAAGUAAAGGUGGCUAUGCCUAGACAGUUUUGUUUUUAAAUAAAACUGAAACUGUGUCUAAGCUAAAAUGGAUAAUAUUCUUGAAGAAUUUUUGUUUGGGGACGAAAUUAGCAAAUGCCGUUAUACAUUUAGCAGAUGUACCUGCCUCACAAUUAUUCCAGAAGGAUGAGAUGAAAUUAAAUAUAUAUAAACCAUAAUUCAAUAUCCAAUUUAGAGAACAUUUUCGUAUGUCCAGAACUACUUUCCAGGAACUAUUUAAUUGUAUUGGUCAUAUCCACCAAUUUGAAAACAGAAUAAUUCUAUUGGAAAAAAUUAAUGUUUAUGAUGUGGAUGCUAAGUAAACCAGAGAAUUUGUUGCUGGGGAUACGUUUGGUUUGCCAAAGAGCUCUGGACAUAAGAUUUUCACCCAAAUAAUAUAGAAUUACAAAAAAUUGGAAAUAACUAAUCUUGAAUAUCAAUGUGUAUAUUGAGUUUAAUUUUAUUGUAAAUAUUCUAUAAUAUAAUUUUAUUGUAAAUAUUGUAUUAACACAUUUGUGGACACAUCUUCAUAUGCAGACAGUAAUUUCCCUUUGUAAGUACAUGCAUAUUAGUCGUAUCUGCGAAUGGGUUAAUUGUAAAUCGUAAUCAAUAAAAAUUUUUUGUGAAUCAAUAAAAAACUGGUUUGUUUGAAAAUAAAUGUAGUACAAAUGUG